GUGCCAUUGAGAGCGUUGAUCUGUGGUGGCACCAGCACGUCCAUGGAAGAGACUGGGCAGGCUACAAAAUAUGAAAAUAUACACAUGUCUUAUUCCUGCCAUCUGACUGUCCUGCACCAAGCGAUCAUGAGCUGGUCUCGAACAACACGGGCAAAUGUGAGUUCAAUGGGAAGAGACAGGUUCCUCAUCCUCCUGCUGCCAAUCAAGAAGGAAGAUGUCUGUUCAGUCUAGCCUUGACAGCAGUGUUCGGUGUGAACGGGAAUCCAUGCUGCUUUCAACGAUUGAUGAUACACAGACACACAUACAAAAGACAAUUUACUUGUGCACAAAUUUAUUCUAUACUUAGUGGUUGUAAUCUAGCCUACACAUGCAGUGGUGUUUGCUUAUACUGUACACACCACCUCAAUCUAACAAUGCAGAAGACACACAAAAAUUGUGCAUUCACUUAUUUGAUAUCAUGCAUUUUCUCUAUUAAUGAUACUUUUGUUUACCAUAGUGACAUAGAUGUUGUCUUCAUUUGGCGUGGUUUGAAUAGUGCACGUCUCCCAGAACAGGCAUAGAACUGAAUCUGACCUGAGUUAUGAGACACAAGCAAGCUUAAAAGGCAAUUUUCAAAACCUAAUGUACACAACCAGCUACAGCAGUGCUUUUCUGUCUUAUGUACAUCCAUAGCCCCAUCAAUAAGGCUUAAGGUGCCCUUCAUUGACAAAAAAUGUGUUCAACAGAAGAAAGUAUACGUUUGAAGCAACAAGAGGGUGAAGACAGAAUUUUCAUUUUUAGGUGAACUAUCCCUUAAAGUAGAUUUACAUAAACUUUAACAACCUUAAUAGGCACAUAAUAGGCUACCACAGCAAGCACACAUGGAGUAUGAAAUUGAUACAAGAGCAGACCUGUCAUUUCACCACAUCACACUGAAAUUUAAAUUUAAAAGUACUUACAUUUUAAGAGUUUUGAACCUAUCUUAAGUCCAUUAAGUGCAAUUUAAAUGUAUCUUUCUGAAAUAUUUCACAGUUUAUCAAA